GGGAUAGGUAGGGAUAGUUUGUUGAACACCUACUUAUGAAAGAUUCAGAGAACUCUACAACCUCUCAUAGGUGUUACGGGAUGUUGUGGAAUUUAAAUGGAAAGGGUGGCGCCAUAGGAUACGUCUGGUCAACGUUUUUGGCAAUUUUAUCGAUGCUGCCGUCAUUUGUCGUCCAUCACCUCGGUUGAUCAUCCGCUGCGUUUCUGAAACAACAACAUAGUUAUUCCUCCAUCCGGCGACCAAGCGCAUUGCCGCAAAAACGAAAAAAAAAAUAUAUUCAACUGACGACGCAAACAAAGACGAACCCUCUUACUUGGGUUUUUACCAAGCACACUCUGCUGAAAGGAAAAAAGGGCAAAUUAAAUAGAAACAAAAUAACUAAAAUCAGUUAUUCACUUUUGCAGCCUUAAAGAUUCGGUGAAUAUUGUUCUUAAUAUGAUUUGUCAUUUAUUCUUUUGUUUUGUAAUUAGUUGAUUAUGAUUAAGUACUUAAAAUGUUUAUUAAUGGGUUGGAGUGCAUGUAGACGAAUGUUUUGCAAUAAUGAUUUCCCUGAAAAGUGAAUCAAUAAAAAAAAAAGAAAAAAAGAAACAAAACUGGCAACACGCAUGUAUUUUUCGUGCUGCAUCGGGUGUUGCUGUCGUUGCUGUAGCUGUAGCGUUAGUUUACUUCGAUGGGACACACAUAAGUCAUUCGUCUUCCUUUGUGAAACCAUUUCAUGCACUCUCAGAAACUUCCACCCUUCGUACUUCGAUCUUCAUACGGUGCACUUUUCGUAACAUAGACUCAAACGUAGGUAGUUAAAACUAUUAAAAAAAUCAAGUUUAAUAGUUUCGAAGAAUGUUAUUCUGUUACAAGGAUUAAUAUUUUCGAAAAGUAAGCAGAUGAUUGAUUCCUGUUAAUCUAUCACUAUAAGUAACAGUAGUAAUGAGUAAUAUUAUAUGACCGUGUCGUCACGAUCUGUAAUGGAUACUUGAAAUGUUUCGUCCGGUUAAAAUCUUUGCUGAUGCGUUUUAUCAACCGUUACACAUGCCAAAAUCACGGCGAGUAAACCGGUUGAACAUAAUGUUGUUAUUAUGAUUUUGUUCCUCGGUCAAAAGUAAAGAAAAGAAAACAGGAUAUUUUGAUAGCAAAACGACCUGAGGAAUCCGAUGGACAAAGCUAGUUGUACGCAGUAUACGGUACAGCUCCUUUACCGGUUCAGGUGUGCAUGCACCAUUUCAACUUGUGAACCACCAGAUGAAAAAUCAAUUUAUUUGCACAAAACGAGAUUUUCACAAAAACUUCACUUGCGUAAGCCAACGUUGAGAUUCUGCGGCCAAUUAUAGCUAAUAAGCACCAAUUUUUAACACAAAAAAUAACACUAAUUUUGUUAAAAUACAGGACUCUUAUUUUCACCACUUCACCUGACUAAGGUAAUGCUUACUAAACCAUACAUAACCACCAAAUGGAGACUCGGUGAUUAUCACUGGGGUUACCUAUCGCACUUACAUGGAAAUCACGUACACGGAGAAAUCGGCAAAUGCUAUUUAACAUAUUAUAAAUGACAUUCCAAAUAUUAACCCACUUUAAUCAUUGCAACUGAUAACAAAAACGCUUGGCCGCAAUUUUUUUAUACUUUGCAAAUCUUAUUUAUGAGAUAUAAUAAGCUGAGCAUAUGACAUAGCAGAUAUUACUCUAGGGACUUUAUAAAAUUCACUAGUCAUUUUCUUCACCUAUUGUACAAAAUGGAAGCCAUCGCAAACAUCUCCAUAUUUUCACGUGUGUUUUCACCUUUUCCAUAAGUUUAAUUCCAUGACAAAUUGCAUUUAAAAAACAUGCACCAUUCACGGUAAGUUUCGCAUUCAAUUGACGCUACUGUUCCAUGUAUUUGUAUUUUACUGUAUUAUUUCUCCCUCAGAAAACAAAUUCGUUCUGUUUGGCCUCGUAUCAGAGCGCGUCGCGGACGGCUCCAUUUUCUGAUCAUUAAUCGGCAUACCAGGAUCUUCUUUGAAAUUGGAAGCUAUGAACAUCAAGCAACAAGAAUUAUUGUCGUUUCGUUAAUCGAGUGAAACUGGCCCGGAAAGAAUCAAACCAAACGGUUCUGUUUCGCGCCACUCUGUGUCGGAUCCGUACGAUCUGCAACUAGGUUCGUGGCUCGAUAUGGAUGGUCAUGAUUAAGGUUUCACGGAUUCUACGAGGAUAUCGUCGAAAUGUUUUACUCUAGUAGAAGAUGUAGUAUAUUUAUUUUAGUAAAUUAUUAUUUAUCACAUAUUUGCGUUUCAUUCAUUAU